GUUGUUUAUCUCUUGGCAAGUGCGUUUGUGUUGCAGGAUGUUCGGAGAUGGAUAUCUUUCCUAGCAAGCCAGAAAAUGUCUAUAGCUAAGAUGUGAUGUUGCAAUCAGCACAGUCUUCUCUUAAGAUUUAAAACAUGGAAAUUGCUGACUUUCUUCAUUCCCUCUGCCUUACCCGGACCAACAAGUGGAGGACGGCUGUACUUUUUUUUUUUUUUGCCCCGUUUGAACAGAAGAAAAGGAUAUUUACGUUGAAGAGACAACACGGAUAAACAAAGAAUUGCAUCCCCAUAAACUGUAUUUUAUUCAUACAUGAUGUAGGAAUAAUCGUCAUAACAAGAUCAUUUCAUACCUAUGAUGUUAAAUUAUUCUCAGUCAUACACCGGUUUACUUUAAACCGAAGUCGAUGACAUUUUUAAAGCAAGGUAACCUAGUUAAAAAAAUGUAAUUCUUCAAACAAUUAUUAUAAUUAUAAUAAGAAGAUUAAAAUUAGAACACAAAGGUC